rnacentral:rRNA from 1 species
AUGCGAGUUCGAGGCAGCCGGGUGCUCGUGGUGCAUCGUGUACUACCCACGGCCCUUGAAAAACACCGAGUACGUCGCCCUCGCCCUCAAGCUCACCACCGAGCGCGUCAGCCAGCCGAUCAACGCCGCCGUCCGGCUCACGCUGGUCCCUCACCACGGCAAGCCGGCGCCGGCCACGCCGUACCAUCUUAG